rnacentral:rRNA from 1 species
UAGGGAAUAUUGGACAAUGGGGGCAACCCUGAUCCAGCCAUGCCGCGUGAGUGAAGAAGGCCCUCGGGUUGUAAAGCUCUUUUGUCCGGAAAGAAAAGCAUUCGGUGAAUACCCGGAUGUUCUGACGGUACCGGAAGAAUAAGCACCGGCUAACUUCGUGCCAGCAGCCGCGGUAAUACGAAGGGUGCAAGCGUUACUCGGAUUUACUGGGCGUAACGCGUGCGUAGGUGGUUGUUUAAGUCUGAUGUGAAAGCCCUGGGCUCAACCUGUGAAUGGCAUUGGAAACUGGGCAGCUAGAGUGCGGUAGAGGGUAGUGGAAUUCCCGGUGUAGCAGUGAAAUGCGUAGAGAUCGGGAGGAACAUCUGUGGCGAAGGCGACUGCCUGGACCAGCACUGACACUGAGGCACGAAAGCGUGGGGAGCAAACA